rnacentral:rRNA from 1 species
ACCAGCACGUUAUGGUGGGCACUCUAAGGAGACUGCCGGUGACAAACCGGAGGAAGGUGGGGAUGACGUCAAGUCAUCAUGGCCCUUACGGCCUGGGCUACACACGUGCUACAAUGGUCGGUACAAAGGGUUGCCAAGCCGCGAGGUGGAGCUAAUCCCAUAAAACCGAUCGUAGUCCGGAUCGCAGUCUGCAACUCGACUGCGUGAAGUCGGAAUCGCUAGUAAUCGCGAAUCAGAAUGUCACGGUGAAUACGUUCCCGGGCCUU